rnacentral:tRNA from 1 species
GGUUGUGGCUCAUUGGUAGAGCACUUGCCUAGCAUGUGUGAGGCCCUGGGUUCGAUCCUCAACACCA